AACGGUAAGAAAUGCCUGGUAACACAGCGGUGGUAGGAUUUGUGUCUCCCAAAGCCAGGCCAUCAGAGUUUCUCACAGUGCUGUUAAUGCGCCCGCACCACACCGCGCAUGCGUGCAAUCCCGCAUCAUAAAUAACGGAUUUACAAGCUUAACUCCGACUCAGCAAUAGCACACGUGUGGAACGCGGCUGAGUGACUGUCACCAUGAGACCCUUAGCUCUGGCCUUGGAGGUUUCCUCAACCUGAGGCUGGGGCUUUGCAGGGUGGGCUGAAGAAAGCCUCUCUGCCUGGGCCUGACGUCUUGCCUAAUGAGCAGAAACACCCUUUUGGACUUAAGGAUCCUGAGCCCCCUGGCCACAAAUCACGAAGCAAAA
rnacentral:lncRNA from 1 species